rnacentral:tRNA from 1 species
GCCGGAGUAGCUCAGCGGCAGAGCAAUCGCUUCGUAAGCGAUAGGUCGCGGGUUCAAAUCCCGCCUCCGGCUC